CCUACGGGUGGCAGCAGUGGGGAAUAUUGCGCAAUGGGCGAAAGCCUGACGCAGCGACGCCGCGUGAGGGAUGAAGGUCUUCGGAUCGUAAACCUCUGUCAGCAGGGAAGAACGGUCACUGUGCUAAUCAGCAGUGAAUUGACGGUACCUGCAAAGGAAGCACCGGCUAACUCCGUGCCAGCAGCCGCGGUAAUACGGAGGGUGCGAUCGUUAAUCGGAAUUACUGGGCGUAAAGCGCGCGUAGGCGGUAUGUCAAGUCAAGGGUGAAAUCCCCGCGCGCAACGUGGGAACUGCCUUUGAAACUGGCAGACUGGAGUGGGUGAGAGGAUAGUGGAAUUCCAGGUGUAGGAGUGAAAUCCGUAGAUAUCUGGAGGAACAUCAGUGGCGAAGGCGACUAUCUGGCACAUAACUGACGCUGAGGAGCGAAAGCGUGGGUAGCAAACAGGAUUAGAUACCCGUGUAGUC
rnacentral:rRNA from 1 species